rnacentral:snRNA from 1 species
GGAUGUGAGGGCGGUCUGGCUGCGACAUCUGUCUCCCCGUUGACUGCCAGGGUUAAUUCGGCUGAUCUGGCUGGUUAGGUGGGUGUCCCCUUCCUCCCUCACUGCUCCAUGUGCAUCCCUCCUAAAGCUGCACACUAGAGGAGGACCCAUCUUCCAUCAAGGGUAUAGGAGUAGCUGUGCUCCCCUGCUAGAACCUCCAAACAAGCUCUCAGAGAUACAUUUACUUUGGUGCACAAAAAUUUCCAGAUCCAUGCAUAGUUUUCUUAUGAUAAAGAUUUUUAU